GACGAACGCUGGCGGCGUGCUUAACACAUGCAAGUCGAACGGAAAGGCCCUGCUUUUGUGGGGUGCUCGAGUGGCGAACGGGUGAGUAACACGUGAGUAACCUGCCCUUGACUUUGGGAUAACUUCAGGAAACUGGGGCUAAUACCGGAUAGGAGCUCCUGCUGCAUGGUGGGGGUUGGAAAGUUUCGGCGGUUGGGGAUGGACUCGCGGCUUAUCAGCUUGUUGGUGGGGUAGUGGCUUACAAAGGCUUGACGGGUAGCCGGCCUGAGAGGGUGACCGGCCACAUUGGGACUGAGAUACGGCCCAGACUCCUACGGGAGGCAGCAGUGGGGAAUAUUGCACAAUGGGCGGAAGCCUGAUGCAGCAACGCCGCGUGCGGGAUGACGGCCUUCGGGUUGUAAACCGCUUUCGCCUGUGACGAAGCGUGAGUGACGGUAAUGGGUAAAGAAGCACCGGCUAACUACGUG
rnacentral:rRNA from 1 species